CCUUACCCACCUUUGACAUGGCAGGAACUUACCAGAGAUGGUUUGGUGCUCGAAAGAGAACCUGCACACAGGUGCUGCAUGGCUGUCGUCAGCUCGUGUCGUGAGAUGUUGGGUUAAGUCCCGCAACGAGCGCAACCCUUGCCAUUAGUUGCUACGAAAGGGCACUCUAAUGGGACUGCCGGUGACAAACCGGAGGAAGGUGGGGAUGACGUCAAGUCCUCAUGGCCCUUAUAGGUGGGGCUACACACGUCAUACAAUGGCUGGUACAAAGGGUUGCCAACCCGCGAGGGGGAGCCAAUCCCAUAAAACCAGUCGUAGUCCGGAUCGCAGUCUGCAACUCGACUGCGUGAAGUCGGAAUCGCUAGUAAUCGUGGAUCAGCAUGUCACGGUGAAUACGUUCCCGGGUCUUGUACACACCGCCCGUCACACCAUGGGAGCGGGUCUCGCCAGAAGUAGGUAGCCUAACCGCAAGGAGGGCGCUUACCACGGCGGGGUUCGUGACUGGGGUGAAGUCGUAACAAGGUAGGCGUAGUGCU
rnacentral:rRNA from 1 species